rnacentral:rRNA from 1 species
UACGUAGGGUGCGAGCGUUGUCCGGAUUUAUUGGGCGUAAAGAGCUUGUAGGCGGUUGGUUGCGUCGAAAGUGCAAACUCAGGGCUUAACUCUGAGCCUGCUUUCGAUACGGGCUGACUGGAGGAAGGUAGGGGAGAAUGGAAUUCCCGGUGGAGCGGUGGAAUGCGCAGAUAUCGGGAGGAACACCAGUGGCGAAGGCGGUUCUCUGGACCUUUCCUGACGCUGAGAAGCGAAAGCGUGGGGAGCAAACAGGCUUAGAUACCCUGGUAGUCCACGCUGUAAACGGUGGGUACUAGGUGUGGGGGACAUUCCACGUUCUCUGUGCCGUAGCUAACGCAUUAAGUACCCCGCCUGGGGAGUACGGCCGCAAGGCUAAA